rnacentral:rRNA from 1 species
AUUGAACGCUGGCGGCAUGCUUUACACAUGCAAGUCGAACGGUAACAGGCCGCAAGGUGCUGACGAGUGGCGAACGGGUGAGUAAUGCAUCGGAACGUGCCCAGUCGUGGGGGAUAACUGCUCGAAAGAGCAGCUAAUACCGCAUACGAUCUAUGGAUGAAAGCGGGGGACCGUAAGGCAUCGCGCGAUUGGAGGGGCCGAUGUCAGAUUAGGUAGUUGGUGGGGUAAAGGCUCACCAAGCCAACGAUCUGUAGCUGGUCUGAGAGGACGACCAGCCACACUGGGACUGAGACACGGCCCAGACUCCUACGGGAGGCAGCAGUGGGGAAUUUUGGACAAUGGGGGCAACCCUGAUCCAGCAAUGCCGCGUGCAGGAAGAAGGCCUUCGGGUUGUAAACUGCUUUUGUACGGAACGAAACGGUCUGGGUUAAUACCCUGGGCUAAUGACGGUACCGUAAGAAUAAGCACCGGCUAACUACGUGCCAGCCGCCGCAGUAACAC